CCCACCCGCUUGUCGCGAGUGCCGCGCUGUGUAGUAGUCACUCGGGUGGGCAGUCGCCAGUCGUAGACGGCAAGUCCGUACAUGGUGUCGUCGGGCGGGCGGUUGCGGCGUACAACGGUAGCAGGACAACAACAAUAAUAAUAAUGCCUACUGAAGAUCGAUAAAAGUUUUCGUGUUUUAUUUUUAUUGUAUUUUUUCGGCAGAAACAUUCCACCGUAAUCCUUAUAAUUAUAACGUACAGGUAGUUGCGAUACCUGCAGCGUGCAUAUUGAUGUACAGAAGAAAAAAUAUCAGCCACUAUAGUACUAUACCGCGAAUAAGAGGAUAUAAGAUAAUAUAGAAGUCCCUAUCAGUGUAUUCUUCAACUAAGUUAUGUUUUUUAUUUAAUCUACAGCUGUUUUGUUUUAUAAAAUCAAAUUAACAUGCAAGAACCUCCAACUGAUUGGCUUAUGAUCAUCGCAAUAUGUUUCAUAACUAGUUGUGUAUUAAUUGGAGUACUAUGUGUUGUUUGUUGUUUUUGGUCUAAAUGCUUACUAUUCAAUUGCUGUCGACCAAACUAUAACAACACUUUCAUUAUAUCUUAUGACAAGCCGGAAGAAGCAUUGAAUUUACCACCAGAAGACACAAAUAACAGUACCUGUUAUUCACCCGUACGAAUGAAAAAAAUUAAAACAUUUGAUUGUAAACAUUUGGCCCAAAUAGGCUGUCAAAAAAAAACACUUUUGGCUCAAGUAGGCUGUACCCAAAACGAAUUAAUUUUUUGGCGCAAAUGGGAUACAGAAGCCAACUAG